ACGUGAGUCACUCAUUUUUAACGGAUAAAGUCAAGCGAAAUAAAGCAAAGAACGUAAUUUGAAAAGUUGAAGUUAAAAUAAUAAGUAGUGUGAAAGAAAAAUGCAAAAUAGUUCACGCGUUAUAAAGUUAUAACACGCGUAAUGCCUAAAGUUUUAAAUGCAGUCAUAAGUAGGUACGAAAUGCAUUCAAAUCGAUGCGCGUAAGCCACUAGCAAGCGAUAAGGAACCGGUUUUGAACUCGGCACGGUUGCUCGUCGCCCGCUUCUAAGAGUAAAAAUGUUGUACUGUAGGUACCGACAAGAUGAUUUAAUUGAAUUUUAGCGAAGAUACCACAAUGUCUGAUCCAGAAAGAAUGCUAGAAGACGGAAAUUAGAAGGAAUAAGAAGGAUAUGGAACAAACUCACUCAGUCAUGUCCCUGCCUUUUUGGUUUCCGCGUUGCAAUGUUCCUUCGGGAAGUCUUCGCUGGUAUAUUAAAAUUUGUUUAAUUCA